rnacentral:rRNA from 1 species
GACGAACGCUGGCGGCGUGCUUAACACAUGCAAGUCGAACGGAAAGGCCCUGCUUUUGUGGGGUGCUCGAGUGGCGAACGGGUGAGUAGCACGUGAGUAACCUGCCCUUGACUUUGGGAUAACUUCAGGAAACUGGGGCUAAUACCGGAUAGGAGCUCCUGCUGCAUGGUGGGGGUUGGAACGUUUCGGCGGUUGGGGAUAGACUCGCGGCUUAUCAGCUUGUUGGUGGGGUAGUGGCUUACCAAGGCUUUGACGGGUAGCCGGCCUGAGAGGGUGACCGGCCACAUUGGGACUGAGAUACGGCCCAGACUCCUACGGGAGGCAGCAGUGGGGAAUAUUGCACAAUGGGCGGAAGCCUGAUGCAGCAACGCCGCGUGCGGGAUGACGGCCUUCGGGUUGUAAACCGCUUUCGCCUGUGACGAAGCGUGAGUGACGGUAAUGGGUAAAGAAGCACCGGCUAACUACGUG